rnacentral:rRNA from 1 species
UAAAGCCAGCACUAAAAUUAGAGUUGCGGCUAGAUUUCAAAUUAGAUUAAAUGUUAGAGAUCUUUCUUUAUUAAUCAAAAUUCAAGAAUUUUUUGGAGGCAUAGGAACAUUUACUUAUGAUAAAGAAAGUAAUGCUUUUAAUUAUUCAGUAAAUAGUUUGACAGAUUUGCAAAAUGUUAUAAUUCCUCACUUUAUGAAUUAUCCACUGUUGACACAAAAAAAAAGAAAGAAGAGCAGCUGAUUUUAAAUUAUUUGUGCAAAUUGUUCAAUUAAUCCGGGGGACAAAGGUGCUCAUCUUAAUCAGGCUGGUUUACAACAGAUAGUUAAUAUUAAAGCUUCUAUGAAUAAAGGUAAUUCUGAUUUUGUUAAAUCUAAGUUUCCUCUAAUUAUCCCUGUAGAAUUAGGUAGAGAAACCAUUGAAACUACAAAUAUUUCAGAUCCACAUUGGAUCUCAGCAUUUGUUAGUGGUGAAGGUAAUUUUGAUGCAGGUAUUAGAAAAGCUACUAAUACUCGAAAAGAAAGAAUUUAUUUAAGAUUUAGAUUAUCACAACAUGAGAGAGAUCUCAAAUUAAUGGAACUAAUAAUUAAAUAUUUAGGAACAGGAAGAAUCGAGUAUGAUAACAGAAUAAUGCUGUUGUAGUUAUAGUAGUAGGAAACUUUGCAGAUAUAAAUAACAAAAUAAUUCCUUUCUUUAAUCAGUAUCCUGUAUUAGGUGUAAAGAACUUAGAUUAUUUAGAUUUUGCAAAAAUUGCUAAUAUGAUGAGUUUAGGUAAACAUAAAACACAAGAAGGAUUUGAGGAAAUAAAAGCAAUAGAAUCUGGAAUGAAUAAAGGUAGAAAGUAGAUAAAAUUAAAAAAUUGUAUGAAAAAUUUGAUGAUCCGUGGGUGCCAGAAGACUCGGUAAGGCCAGAAGCGCGAGCGUAAGUCAUCUUGAAAAGGCGUAAAGUGUGUGUAGGCAGCUUUGAAAAUCUCUUAACAGGGAAAAACUCAAAGAUUGAAUCAAAUAGAGGUCACAGUCCAGAUAAUUUUGUAAGGAAGGAUACAAUAUGCAGAUUUACAAAGGAAUACUAAUUAGCGAAUGCUCUUUUCCAACUAAUGAUUGACGCUGAGACACGAAGGUGAGGAUCGAAAAUAGAAUUUGGUACUCUGGUAUCCCUCUCUGUAAACGAUGAAUGGUAGUUGCUAGUUUAAGUAUUAGUGGCGAUGCUAACGCGUUAA